rnacentral:rRNA from 1 species
GAUGAACGCUGGCGGCGUGCCUAAUACAUGCAAGUCGAGCGAACAGACGAGGAGCUUGCUCCUCUGACGUUAGCGGCGGACGGGUGAGUAACACGUGGAUAACCUACCUAUAAGACUGGGAUAACUUCGGGAAACCGGAGCUAAUACCGGAUAAUAUAUUGAACCGCAUUGUUCAAUAGUGAAAGACGGUUUUGCUGUCACUUAUAGAUGGAUCCGCGCCGCAUUAGCUAGUUGGUAAGGUAACGGCUUACCAAGGCAACGAUGCGUAGCCGACCUGAGAGGGUGAUCGGCCACACUGGAACUGAGACACGGUCCAGACUCCUACGGGAGGCAGCAGUAGGGAAUCUUACGCAAUGGGCGAGAGCCUGACGGAACAACGCCGCGUGAGUGAUGAAGGUCUUCGGAUCGGAAAACUCUGUUAUUAGGGAAGAACAAAUGUGUAAGUAGCUAUGCACGUCUUGACGGUACCUAAUCAGAAAGCCACGGCUAACUACGUG